CAAAACCUUAAAUUAAUGAAGACUUGGCAUGCCACUUUUCAAAGGUUGCCAACCCCUGAGCUAUAUCAUACACAUGAAUCAAACUAUCUUGUUAGUUACAUUGUAUUUAAAGAGAACAAACGAGGUCAUGUGGAAAUGGCAGGCAAGGAAGAGGUAACAUGAUCAAGGGAGUAGAAAAAAGGAAGGAAGGUGAAGAGGAACACUUAGAGGAAGGGUGUGAAAGCAGGUAGGGAGAGGAAGGAGUAGAUAGGGUAAGAAGGAUGAAGAGAAGCAUGGAGGGCAGCGUGAAUGAGGGAGGCAGAUGAAAGACUAUAAGGGGAGGAGAGGUAAAUGACUACAUAAGGUGCAGCUUCAACCAGAACAUACCCAAGACUUUGUCUCUCUAACAACUUCCAGAAGAGUUUGUAACCAGUCAUGGCAAGGUAGAGAACAGGAGAGACUGAAGUGCCAUCAAUGCCUGAGGCCCCUACCACGGCAAGUAUACCAGUUAUCCUUCUGAUGAAUCUAGCCAUGCAGUGCCAUGACUGCACAUUGCCCCACAAUCUCUAAAU